UGUGUAGGCGGUUGUUUAAGUUUGGUGUGAAAUCUCCCGGCUCAACUGGGAGGGUGCGCCGAAUACUGAAUGACUUCGAGUGCGGGAGAGGAGAGUGGAAUUCCUGGUGUAGCGGUGAAAUGCGUAGAUAUCAGGAGGAACACCGGUGGUGUAGACGGCUCUCUGGACCGUAACUGACGCUGAGACACGGAAAGCGUGGGUAGCAAACAGGACUUAGAUACCCUGGUAGUCCACGCCCUAAACGAUGCACAUUUGGUGUGGGCAGUUCAUUCUGUCCGUGCCGGAGCUAACGCGUUAAAUGUGCCGGCCUGGGGAGUACAGUCGCAAGGCUAGAA
rnacentral:rRNA from 1 species